AAGUCACUUUUUGUUUCUGUGUGACAGGGUUUACCAAUCCUGCACUGGGGCUGCAAGGUUAACCCUUGUUACCUGGCUGAGAAGACCUCACCCCCACAGCUCUGCUGUACAUGCUGCAACUGGAGGCCAGCUUUAAAGGCCUGUGGAGCAGCUCAGCCUGGGCUGACUGCCACAGGGGAAGGAAGAGCAGUCGGAGCUCCUGAGGCAGAGUUACAGAUGGACCUAGACAUGGAGAUCAGUCAGCAAGGAAAAGCCACUACUCUGGAGGAAAGUGUCAAGGGACUGCAAUAGUGAACCUGGUGAUGUGUGGGCUUCCUCAUUGCUUGAAAUCUUCUGCACAAGACUGGAUUUUAUAUGUUAUCUCAGCUUCAAAGUACUGGCCUUGAUGUGAGAAUUACCUGGUGAGGUUCUAUCACAUGGGUUAUGCGAGAGGACAGACAAGGAAAGUUCAUGUGGAGAGGUUGGGCAUGAAGCCAGAUAGCCUGGAGGUAAUUCCUAGAGCUGUGGUACACUAAGGACUUCUGUGAACAAAUCCCUCCAAAUGGUGAGCACACUGUUGCUUGUCUAAAGAAUUUGUAUUCCUCAGAAAGAGGACUCAUGAUCUGAGAUUUUUCUCCCCCCAUGCACUGCAUU